rnacentral:misc_RNA from 1 species
AAGUCGUAACAAGGUUUCCGUAGGUGAACCUGCGGAAGGAUCAUUAUCACAAAAUGAUUUUAGCUUUGUCCCAAAUUAAUCCUUGGGUCAAGCUAACCUCUUCUCUUAAACCAAUUUAAUUCAAAUGUGAAACUGUUCAGUUGUUUUUUUUUAUGAUGAUCGGCUCUAAGCCUUUCAAAACAAAAAAACACAACAUUUUUAACCAAUUGAACCCUAAUAAUUUUUUAGUUAUUUUAUUUAAUUUAGUUCUGAAAUAUUAUUAUAGAAACCUCACUCUUUUGUGGUUUUCUUAUAAUAAAUUACAUUACGAAACAAUUAUCAAUAAAACAACUCUUAGCAACGGAUAUCUUGGUUCUC